rnacentral:lncRNA from 1 species
AUUGGCAUGGGCUAAACCAAACUACUAAGCAACCUUAUUGAAGACUCAAUCUUCCAAAUUGGCCAGAUAAGUGGAGAUUGGUGGGGGUCCCUCCGUUGCUUUUCUUAGACACCAAUAAAUUGAUCAGGUAACCUAACAGAAUUAAUUAAAUAACUAUGUCUCAAUUACUUACCUUAGAAACCAAUAGGUCAAUUAGUCCAA